rnacentral:lncRNA from 1 species
CCUCCUAGGCAAUGACUUUUAGUUCCAUCCGCGAAGGAGGAGACUGAGGCCAUGCAGGUUAAUGACACACCCACAGUCACACCGCUGGAACUCGACAGAGCCAAGGACCCUCAGUGCCACAGCAAGGCUUUGCCAGAAGCUCCCGCACCUGGCCCAGCACCCGGAGGUGUCCCUGAGCAGGUGCCCUGGAGCUGGGACACCUCAGCCUCUCCACCGGCCCCUGCCAGGGGCAAAAGAAGGCAUCAGACCCAUGGGCCACCCAGCCCAGGCAAGCGACCUCAAUCCCAGGAUUCCCCGAAGAGAAGGCAGCCUCCUCACACCUGCCUCCCAGGUACCCCAGGACUGCCGGCAGCACCUACAGCCUUGCGCUCACCCUCAGCCUCCAUCCCAGAGCCCACAAACCCGAUGAGUUCUUCUCCAGCACCAGGAGCUGCCAGCCACCGCCACCCCCCCACAGGCUCAGGCAGGAGAAGAAUGUGGCCUGACCCUCCCUCGGGAGCUCUGGCCAGCAGGCCUUGGCAGGAGAUGGGCGGCUGAGUCAACACAAGGCUGCCAGGGACUCCAGAUGCCCACUGAAGCCGGGUCACAGACACAGAGGAGCUACCCACCCUCACUGCCCCCUGCCCAAGACCCUCCUUCCUCCUGCUGGUCCAGGCACCCUGUGGGCUGGCCCGGAAAUGACCUGUUGUGCAUCCUCAGGUCCCGUCUGCCACCUCUCUGGCUGGUGCCCUCACUCCGGCUAAAGUCCCUCCUACUGUCAAAGUCUCUAUAAAUUAAUAAAGGUUACUCUGCCCAUAAAACUGCAUAAACGUCGCGUCCCCUCUGUAGGCUGGGGGGGCAAAUACCUAAGUUCAAAGGCAAUGGCGGCCGUACCCUGUUGCUGGGUACUGAGCUGGUGUUUAAUUGUGCUUGCUGGGAUGAGACAGUUAACAUCUACAGAACAAUGGGGCAAGGACGAGGAGCCUGCGCGGUAGUCGUGACGCACAGCCUCAGCGUCUGCGAGGCUGCUUUCCCACGUGGCAUCCUUGAUCACAGGCCCUCGGCCCCUUCCACACACAGCAGUGCCAGAGGGAAAGGAGCUUGCCCAGGGUCCCCAGCUGGGACCAGCUGGACCCAGGCCUUUGGAGAGGAAAGCAGUGGGGUCUCUGUGCUGCACCAGGAGGAGCACAGGGGCAGUGACCAGCAGAGAACGUGGACGUUUGGCAAUGGUCUCAAAGCCUUAACCUCAUUGCAUGGGCACCACGGGUGCCACUGACCUGGACUUAGAUUCAGCUGUGAGAGGGGAAGGAAGUCGCUGUACCCCUUGGCCGUGUCCCCAUGGACGACGGGGCUGUACAGAUGAGAGCGCAACGCCAGGUCCCCACGAGGGGCUCUUAGGAGACGCAGGUUCACGCCUGCCACUCCUGACCAUCUUCCGCAUCUAACUGUCCCACGAGCACAAG